rnacentral:rRNA from 1 species
AUUGAACGCUGGCGGAAUGCUUUACACAUGCAAGUCGAACGGCAGCACGGACUUCGGUCUGGUGGCGAGUGGCGAACGGGUGAGUAAUGUAUCGGAACGUGCCCAGUCGUGGGGGAUAACGUAGUGAAAAUUACGCUAAUACCGCAUACGAUCUAUGGAUGAAAGCGGGGGAUCGCAAGACCUCGCGCGAUUGGAGCGUCCGAUAUCAGAUUAGGUAGUUGGUGGGGUAAAGGCCCACCAAGACAACGAUCUGUAGCUGGUCAGAGAGGACGAACGGCCACACUGGAACUGAGACACGUGCCAGACUGCUACGGGAGGCAGCAGUGGGGAAUUUUGGACAAGGGGCGAAAGCCUGAUCCAGCCAUUCCGCGUGCAGGAUGAAGGCCCUCGGGUUGUAAACUGCUUUUGUACAGAACGAAAAGGUUUCUACUAAUACUAGGAGCUCAUGACGGUACUGUAAGAAUAAGCACCGGCUAACUACGUGCCAGCCGCCGCGGUAA